rnacentral:rRNA from 1 species
AUUGAACGCUGGCGGCAGGCCUAACACAUGCAAGUCGAGCGGGGUUUUCGGACCUAGCGGCGGACGGGUGAGUAAUGCGUAGGAAGCUACCCGAUAGAGGGGGAUACCAGUAGGAAACGACUGUUAAUACCGCAUAGUGUCUACGGACCAAAGUGUGGGACCUUCGGGCCACAUGCUAUCGGAUGCGCCUACGUGGGAUUAGCUAGCUGGUGGGGUAAUGGCGCACCAAGGCGACGAUCCCUAGCUGGUUUGAGAGGAUGAUAAGCCACACUGGAACUGAGACACGGUCCAGACUCCUACGGGAGGCAGCAGUGGGGAAUAUUGGACAAUGGGCGCAAGCCUGAUCCAGCCAUGCAGCGUGUGUGAAGAAGGCCUUCGGGUUGUAAAGCACUUUCAGUAGGGAGGAAGAGUUGAGUGUUAAUAGUACUCAGCUUUGACGUUACCUACAGAAGAAGCACCGGCUAACUCCGUGCCAGCCGCCGCGGUAAGAC